AUUGAACGCUGGCGGCAGGCUUAACACAUGCAAGUCACGCGAGAGGCGGAAGGGUGAGUAAUGUAUGGGAAACUGCCUGAUGGAGGGGGAUAACUAAUGGAAACGGUAGCUAAUAACGCACACCAUCAGAUGUGCACAGAUGGGAUGCUCUAGUAGGUGGGGGAAUGGCUCCCCUAGGCGACUAGCCCUAGCUGGUCUGAGAGGAUGACCAGCCACACGUGAACGUCGGUACGUUCCAGAAUCCUACGGGAGGCAGCAGUGGGGAAUAUUGCACAAUUGGCGCAAGCCUGAUGCAGCCAUGCCGCGUGUGUGAAGAAGGCCUUCGGGUUGUAAAGCACUGUCAGUGAUGUGGCGUUACUCGCAGAAGAAGCACCGGCUAACUCCGUGCCAGCCGCCGCGGUAAUUC
rnacentral:rRNA from 1 species